UACGUAGGGUGCAAGCGUUAAUCGGAAUUACUGGGCGUAAAGCGUGCGCAGGCGGUUAUGUAAGUCAGAUGUGAAAUGCCCGGGCUUAACCUGGGAACUGCAUUUGUGACUGCAUGGCUAGAGUUUGGCAGAGGGGGGUAGAAUUCCACGUGUAGCAGUGAAAUGCGUAGAUAUGUGGAGGAACACCGAUGGCGAAGGCAGCCCCCUGGGUCAAGACUGACGCUCAUGCACGAAAGCGUGGGGAGCAAACAGG
rnacentral:rRNA from 1 species